GGCAAACAAGCGUCAGGAUCAGAAAGAUAACAGGCACCUGUUACAGCAGCCUCGGCGGCAGUGAAAUGAGCAGAAAGGAGCCAACCUUCUCCCGGAGAAGAACUGAACACCUGUUCCACACCGGGUUAUUCAUGGAGGGUGUUGAAAUAAAUCACCAAGAAACGCUUCGAGAGAAGUACUGCUGUUAGACCAUUUCAGAAGUGAGGAAACUGAGGCUCAGACAGGAGCCACCGACCUCAGGCAAGCUCUUUCUCCUCUCUUGCCUCGGUUUACCCCUCCCCAGAGUGAGGAGGCUGGAAGAGAUGCUUGCCAAGAGUUCCUUCAACUCUGCCGUAUCUCUACUGCGUCACAUUGUCCCUAUGGAUCACAAAGACCUCACUCUACAACUGCUACUUUCAUGCCACAUCGCCCGUAGCGUGGACCUGCGCUGGGCCAUGGCGAGCCCAGUGGCGGAUUCUGAUCUGUAUUUUGGCAAGUUUGACCA